rnacentral:tRNA from 1 species
UGGCGAGGUAGCUCAGCUGGUUAGAGCGUCGGAUUCAUAAUCCGGAGGUCGAGGGAUCGUGACCCUCUCUCGCUACUUA